GUCUGUGGCCAUACCUGCCUGAAUGUGCUCGAUCUCGUCUGAUCUUGGAAGCUAAGCACAGUCGGGCCUGGUUAAUACUUGGAUGGGAGAAAUUUUAGAUAAUUUGUUCAGGGUCUUCUGGUUAUUAAGCCGCAAAGC
rnacentral:rRNA from 1 species